GGCGGCGUGCUUAACACAUGCAAGUCGAACGAAGCACUUAAGUUUGAUUCUUCGGAUGAAGACUUUUGUGACUGAGUGGCGGACGGGUGAGUAACGCGUGGGUAACCUGCCUCAUACGGGGGGAUAACAGUUAGAAAUGACUGCUAAUACCGCAUAAGACCACAGCACCGCAUGGUGCAGGGGUAAAAACUCCGGUGGUAUGAGAUGGACCCGCGUCUGAUUAGCUAGUUGGUGGGGUAAUGGCCUACCAAGGCGACGAUCAGUAGCCGACCUGAGAGGGUGACCGGCCACAAUUGGGACUGAGACACGGCCCAAACUCCUACGGGAGGCAGCAGUGGGGAAUAUUGCACAAUGGGGGAAACCCUGAUGCAGCGACGCCGCGUGAAGGAUGAAGUAUUUCGGUAUGUAAACUUCUAUCAGCAGGGAAGAAAAUGACGGUACCUGACUAAGAAGCCCCGGCUAACUACGUGCCAGCAGCCGCGGUAAUACGUAGGGGGCAAGCGUUAUCCGGAUUUACUGGGUGUAAAGGGAGCGUAGACGGUAUGGCAAGUCUGAUGUGAAAGGCCAGGGCUCAACCCUGGGACUGCAUUGGAAACUGUCGAACUAGAGUGUCGGAGAGGCAAGUGGAAUUCCUAGUGUAGCGGUGAAAUGCGUAGAUAUUAGGAGGAACACCAGUGGCCCAGGCGGCUUGCUGGACGAUGACUGACGUUGAGGCUCGAAAGCGUGGGGAGCAACCAGGAUUAGAUACCCUGGUAGUCCCCGCCGUAAACGAUGACUACUAGGGUUCGGGUAGCAGAAGCUAUUCGGUGCCCGCAGCCAACGCAAUAAGUAGUCCACCUGGGGAGUACGUUCGCAAGAAUGAAACUCAAAGGAAUUGACGGGGACCCGCACAAGCGGUGGAGCAUGUGGUUUAAUUUGAAGCAACGCGAAGAACCUUACCUGCUCUUGACAUCUCCCUGACCGGCAAGUAAUGUUGCCUUUCCUUCGGGACAGGGAUGACAGGUGGUACAUGGUUGUCGUCAGCUCGUGUCGUGAGAUGUUGGGUUAAGUCCCGCAACGAGCGCAACCCCUAUCUUUAGUAGCCAGCGGUUUGGCCGGGCACUCUAGAGAGACUGCCAGGGAUAACCUGGAGGAAGGUGGGGAUGACGUCAAAUCAUCAUGCCCCUUAUGAGCAGGGCUACACACGUGCUACAGUGGCGUAAACAAAGGGAAGCAAGCCUGCGAGGGUAAGCAAAUCUCAAAAAUAACGUCUCAGUUCGGAUUGUAGUCUGCAACUCGACUACAUGAAGCUGGAAUCGCUAGUAAUCGCGAAUCAGAAUGUCGCGGUGAAUACGUUCCCGGGUCUUGCACA
rnacentral:rRNA from 1 species